CGUUUCCAAAAGGCCUGAUUCCGUUUUCACUGAUACUGACGGCUCUGAAAUCAGCAAUUGAACUUUUUUUAUAAUACUUUGAAUAAUGAACACGUAUUAAGAUAUUGGUUGAAAAUCACUUCAUCUCUUUUUAUAUAAGUUUAAUUAAAUUAAUCCUCAAAAGAAUUUUUAUUCCUUAAAUUAAUAUUAUAUAAUCAAUUCUACAAGAAAUUGAACAUGAAUUUUUUUUCUGGGAAUAUUUCAUCGCAAAAGAAAUAAAUACGCAGAAGUUAUGCCGAAUGAUAUGGCUGUCAGACUGAAAAAUGUGAUAGCAUUCUAGAUCAGAGUAAUAUUGCGAGUCUCAUAAAAUUUGUUCCGUCGCUUAUCGAUUGUCGAUAGCGAUAAAGCUAUAUUGAAGGAUAAAAUACAUAAUAAUUUUCUGUUUACGUGAUUAUUUUAAUUUAUACAAAGAGUUAUUUUAAUUAUAAUAUAUUUCAAUUAUAAGAUAUUAAAAUAAACAAAAUACUAUAUUCUUGGACGAAAUGGAAUCGGAGGUGCAGCAGAUCCCAUAGUCGGCGGACCCGACUCACCCUGCCGGUUCAAGCUACCUGGUAGCGGAGGGUAGAA